rnacentral:rRNA from 1 species
AUUGAACGCUGGCGGCAGGCCUAACACAUGCAAGUCGAGCGGGGUUUUCGGACCUAGCGGCGGACGGGUGAGUAAUGCGUAGGAAGCUGCCCGAUAGAGGGGGAUACCAGUUGGAAACGACUGUUAAUACCGCAUAAUGUCUACGGACCAAAGUGUGGGACCUUCGGGCCACAUGCUAUCGGAUGCGCCUACGUGGGAUUAGCUAGUUGGUGAGGUAAUGGCUCACCAAGGCGACGAUCUCUAGCUGGUUUGCGAGGAUGAUCAUCCACACUGGAACUGAGACACGGUCCAGACUCCUACGGGAGGCAGCAGUGGGGAAUAUUGGACAAUGGGCGCAAGCCUGAUCCAGCCAUGCCGCGUGUGUGAAGAAGGCCUUCGGGUUGUAAAGCACUUUCAGCGAGGAGGAAGGGUGGUGUGUUAAUAGCACAUCAUUUUGACGUUACUCGCAGAAGAAGCACCGGCUAACUCUGUGCCAGCAGCCGCGGUAAUAC